AAUAUUGCGCAAUGGAUGGAACUCUGACGCAGCGACGCCGCGUGAGCGAUGAAGGUCUUCGGUUCGUAAGGCUCUGUCCUUGGUGAAGUAGGUCUUCGGACUUGACGGUACCUAAGGAGGAAGCCCCGGCUAUCUACGUGCCAGCAGCCGCGGUAAUACGUAGGGGGCACGGGUUGUCCGGAAUUAUUGGGCGUAAAGGGUGCGUAGGCGGCCUUUUAAGUCAGAUGUGAAAGCCCACGGCUUAACCGUGGGACUGCAUUGGAAACUGGAGUGCUGGAGUAUCGGAGAGGGUAGUGAAAUUCCCAGUGUAGCGGUGGAAUGCGUAGAUAUUGGGAGGAACACCAGUGGCGAAGGCGACUACCUGGACGAAAACUGACGCUGAGGCACGAAAGCUAGGGGAGCAAAC
rnacentral:rRNA from 1 species